rnacentral:lncRNA from 1 species
AGAGUGGGCUAGGGGACCAGGCCGCUCACAGACACUGAGGAGGGUGCUGUAAAGAGUCAGCAGCCACGGCCCUGACAAGCUGGCACUGCGGGCAUUUAUUUAGUACAGAUUUAAUGACAAAGCCCCCCAGAAAACACAGUAUCACUAUUCUCACCAAUGGAUAAAGAAAGUCUAUAAAUAGUCCCAAGUCCAUUCAAAUCAAUUUUAUCCCCAAAUGGGUUUUGUCUUCAAAUUUACACAUAAAAAAUGUUCCCAGAGUGUUUUGGAUUUCAGAAUUGUGGGUAAGGGAUUGGGCACCCAUAUUUUCAACACCAUGAUGUGCAUGACGUCAUGUGUUUUCUGCAACUGGAAAUUGGAUCAUUUGUUAGUGGUUCGUUAUUGUGUGACAUUUCCCAUUCUACAGAGAUGUGAAAACUGGAAGAGAAACAGGAAGUACCUCCAGGAUUCACCUAAAUAGAUGCUGCGGUUUCUAUCAAACCACAGGCCACCCCAGCAUCUCAGUGGCUUCUAUAGGUUGUCCUGAAAGAGCCAUGAGGCCAGGGCCCUUGAUGGAUUCCCAGAUACCAGCUGCUCCUCCAGACACCAAUUCCACCCUCCACCUUUCUGUGUCCGUCCCAGACCAAGGCAGCCCAGGUAAGGAGCCAUGAGUAGGAGGUUUCCCAGUGGGUAGAGGUGCCAGACUCAGCAGCUAGAAAUAUAGAAUUUUCAGAUCAAUGAUAAUUUUUUGGGUAAGUGUAUCCCAUGCAGCAUUUGAAAUACAAUUUAAUCAAAUUUAACUAGAUGUCCUGCAUGUUGUAGGAAACUCUCUAGGAGGUGUGUCUCCAGGAUAGAGGGCCAGUGGAGAAUGGCAGCCCACACUGUUAUGGGAUGAAGUGUGUCCCCCAAAAUCAACAUGUUGAAGCUCUAACCCCCAG